rnacentral:rRNA from 1 species
UACGGGGGGAGCAAGCGUUGUUCGGAUUUACUGGGCGUAAAGGGCGCGUAGGCGGCCACCGCAAGUCGACUGUGAAAUCUCCGGGCUUAACCCGGAAAGGUCAGCCGAUACUGCGGGGCUAGAGUGCAGAAGGGGCAACUGGAAUUCUCGGUGUAGCGGUGAAAUGCGUAGAUAUCGGGAGGAACACCGGUGGCGAAGGCGGUUCUCUGGGCCGUUACCUGGACGCUGAGGAGCGAAAGCGUGGGGAGCGAACAGG